rnacentral:rRNA from 1 species
AUUGAACGCUGGCGGCAGGCCUAACACAUGCAAGUCGAGCGGAGCGGCGGACGGGUGAGUAAUGCCUAGGAAUCUGCAUGGGAGUGGGGGAUAGGGUCCGGAAACGGGCACUAAUACUGCAUACUAUCGCCUGAGCCUAGGUCGAAUUAGCUAGUUGGUGGGGUAAGGGCCUACCAAGGCGACGAUCCGUAACUGGUCUGAGAGGAUGAUCAGUCACACUGGAACUGAGACACGGUCCAGACUCCUACGGGAGGCAGCAGUGGGGAAUAUUGGACAAUGGGCGAAAGCCUGAUCCAGCCAUGCCGCGUGUGUGAAGAAGGUCUUCGGAUUGUAAAGCACUUUAAGUUGGGAGGCGUUACCAACAGAAUAAGCACCGGCUAACUUCGUGCCAGCAGCCGCGGUAAUAC